GUUCACACCAAUACCAGGGACAGACGCUCAACCAGUCUCUCCUGCCUGGCCCCACCCUUGGCGCCUCCCUUCUGGGCGUCCUUGUGAGGUUCCGUGAACACCCUGUGGCAGUCAGCGGAGACAUCAAGGGGAUGUUUCAUCAGGUCCGCCUCCUCCCUGAGGAUUGUCACCUCCUAAGAUUCCUGUGGCACGACCUGAAGGCAUUCUGACCGAUGCCCCAUGUUGGAUGGCGCUUAACACCUAAAAUGAAUCAUCUAUCCUUGCACCUCCCCAACACUUGGAAGUCAUCAUCUUAAUGACAGAGACAUGUAGAGGCGUGCAGUUGGUGAACCAACCUGUGGACGGAAAAUGUCUGAUUUAAGUGAGUUUCUACGUGGGCGAGGGGUGCCAGAAGACACCAUUUCAAUAAUGGAAGAGCAGAAGAUUGACAGUGAUGUCAUAGCACUGAUGGAUGACGCAGCUCUGGCAAAUUACAUCCCCUCCUAUGGAGACUGAAUUGCCAUCUUCAAUUUCUGCAAAAGCAAGCAACCACUCUCACAAAGAAAAAAAGAACAGAAACAGAAAAAAAGUGACAGAAACGGUGCCUGCAAUGUCAGAGUUAGAUGACUUAAUUCGAUUGUACUUCAGACUGUCUUUCAGUAACAAAGAAAUACUUGCAAUUUUAGCUCAUAAUAAUCAGACACUUAUAAGUGUUCGUACCCUAAAGAGAAUUUGUAAAAGACUAGGGCUCUUCAGAAGAAAGAAUCCACAAGGUGUGGAAUUAAGACGAGCUCGACGCUUGAGAAGACGUCAGUACAGCUGCAGAGGACCAAAUUCGCUUUGGCACAUGGACGGCUAUGACAAAUUAAAACCCUAUGGCAUUGCCAUCAAUGGAUGCAUAGACGGUUUUAGCCGCUAUGUUUUAUGGCUGGAGGCCUAUAUCACAAACAAUGACCCUAAAUUGGUUGCAAGUUACUUUUUGAAAACAGUUUCAUGCAUGAAUGGAUGUCCAGAGAGAGUAUGUGCUGAUAGGGGCAAAGAAAAUGGUUGUGUAGAACAAAUGCAAAUGUUUUUGCGUAGAAAUCACACAGACAGUUUUGCAGGGCAGAGAAGUUUCUUAUAUCAAACAACCAGCGCAUUGAAGGAUGGUGGGCUACCCUCCGCAAGCAGAGUGCACAGUUCUGGAUGAACUUAUUUAAAACGUUUCAGGAUGAUGGUCAUUUCACAGGAGACUUUUUGGACAAAAGUCUUAUCCAGUUCUGCUUUCUUAAUCUUGUUCAGGAUGAGCUUGAUGAAGUUGUGAACACAUGGAACUC